CAUACAUAGACAAACACAUACACACUAUAAACACAUACAUGGCGGUUAAUAAACUGAUUCAAAGUCACACGCUCACACCUGAAUACGGACGCACACACUAUCGAAAGUAAAUCUACACCAUAGUCACUACCUCUGGACGAAGGGGGUUCUGUACAUGGUCACUGGAACCGGCAAAAAAAUAUCAGUGAAAUAUCGCUCAUACUGUGCACUGGGUGCGUUGGACACAGAAAAUAAUAGCGUUUAAGGAACACUGGCUGAAAUAGUGACGGAAUGCGGGUGGAGUAACGUCUUGAUUACACGGGUGCUCAAUCGGAGUCGACUCGGGGUUAAAAUAACAAACAAACAAACACGCACGCGUGCGUCUUCUCGCCUCCCACACACAGACAUACAUGCACAUUCACAGACACUGGUGCACGUGAAUCACCUGCGAAAAUAAAAACUCAAAAAUGCCAGAAAUGUAAGCAGUUAGAAUAACCGAAAAUAAGCUCCUACGGCCUAGAAUACAUACAUACAUACAUACAUACAUACACGCACAUACAGGUACACACAGGUAGAUAAAUUAAUAUUUAAGUAAACCUUAAAUACAUAAGGAAAUGUAAUUUCAAUAAAAAAGAAAAUACGUGAACGCAACUUCUUCCAAAUAUAAUUGUGACUAAACGUAACUUGUAGCGAAAAAAGAAUCUACAUAAACACACACAUACACAUACACACACACAGAGAGACACGCACACACACACAUAUACACAAUAGACACCUGCGAGAAAAGGGGAAAACAGCAGAAAAACGCUGAUGAAUUAACGUGCAGAAAACAGACUAAAUCCGACGACGACAAGAACCGCCGCUGCAGCCGCCGCCACCACCACAUGUCAAAAACACACCUGCAACCCACCCCCGCCACUUCAAAAUAUAUAUACACAUACCGACAGACAUAUAUAAACAUAUGCAGGUCUGUGCAUAUGCACAAUACAACAGCAGUAUCGACGAGCCAGAGAUGAAGCCUGUUCAUUUUACAUGCUAGUAAUAACUGGUGAUGACAGAAAGUAUAUCGCGUUAAGAAAGGAAGGACAGAGCGGAUAAUACGACUCUAGAUAUUUGGAAUAACAACAACAACAAAGAAGUUUAAAGAGGAGAUGGCCAUACUGGAGUACUUUUGAUCAUGUGUCUGCUCAGCUACGGCUGACCUGGGGCUCAUCGAUAUCGAUAAAUUCGAACAUUAACACAUACAUACAUAUGCAACACAAGUCUCAAUAAAUUCACACGCACACACGCACACACACACACACACACAGGGGACAUAUGUACACAUACUAACUCAUACCGAGACAGACGACAACAGUUAUCACAAGUAUAUAAACACACACACCGCUAAACAGACAAGACAUACAUUUACAUACAUACACACUCACACACAAACACACACAUACACUCACAGGCAAUACACAUUUCCCCAUCCCUCAAAUAUAUAAACAUACAUACAUACAUACAUACAUACAUACACACAUAUAUAUAUAUAUGUAUGUAUGUAUAUAUAUAUAUUUGUAUAUUAUAUUAUAUACACUCAUUACAGCACCGUUAUUAACCAGAGCUCCUUACGUUGGUUCUACACAGAUAUUCAGACAUACACACUCACACAAAUAUAUACACCCGCACACAUAUACACAUAUACAUGCAUACAUACACUACCACAGAGCAACAUAGAUGGACAAAUACUCACACAUAACGACGUACACUAACACACACACAAACGCACACACACACACACACAUGAUACCAUUAACACAGUCUGUGAUAAGGCUGCACCAACAGCACCACCAGCAGUGAAUAUGUCUUACUGGUUACUACCAUCUGUACAAACUUCCAUCGCCACCAUCACCACCAACCACAACCAAGCCGCAGCCACUGUUGCAGCUGGUGGUGACGGGGGUUGCCGCCGCCGCCGUCGUUGUUGUUGUUGUUUCCUCUUCUUCUCUUACCUCUCCUACUCCUUUCUCUUCUUGUUCAGAUUCUUGUUAUUGAUCGCUGUAGUAUAGUAGUCACAACAGCAGUAACAGUUACAACAACAACAACAACAGCAACAACAACAAAUACAUCAGUAGUAGCAGUGGUAGCAGUAGCAGCAGCUGUUAUAGUACAAGUGGUGGGGCUGAUAGCGGAAGCAAAAGGCGGCGGCACAGACGGCGGCAGCACUAAUAACAACAGUAGUUGUAGUAUUAGCCGUAGUAUUAAUAGCAGUAUUAGAAGUAGUAGUAGUAGUUGUAGUAGUAGUAGUAGUAGUAGUAGUAGUAGUAGUAGUAGUAGUAGGGGCUCUAUUGUGAUCGGAGAAGGUGCAGCGGUAACGACAACAGCAACACGAAGAAUAUUUAUUUUUUUCAAAUAAGGAAAAGAAGAAAAAAACAAAACAAAAGGAAAACAAAAACACAAAGCAAAAAAAAAAAAAGAGCCGCUGUUGAAACCCUUUUCUCAUCAUCAUCAUCACCAUCAUCAUCAUCAUCAUCGUUAUAUACGUUGUUGUUGUCACCAUCGUCGUCGUCGUCGUAGCAACCACCGACAACAACAACAACCUUAACCUUAACCUUAACAACGUCCAUAACGUCGACAAGAAAACAACAACAACAACAACAACAACGGGAACUACAACAACUACCACCACUACCACUACUACCACCACCACUACUACUACUACUACUACCACUACCACUACCACUACCACUACUACCACUACUACUACUGCAAGAGCAGAAGGAACUUACUACGAGGGUACCUGAGACGGAAAACGCUAAAGGUAGAGCAAUCACGACCAUCAUCAUCAUCAUCAUCGUCAUCAUCAUCAUUAUCAUCAUCAUCAUCAUCGUCAUCGUCAUCGUCAUUAACAACAACAACAACAACAACAACAACAAAAGCAAUACUCAUAAUUUGCAGUGGUUUCACUGGCUGCAAUAAAGAAAAGAAAAGCAAAAGGAAGAAGAACAACAAAAAACACAGCAGAAGCUGUUGUACACGACCACAAUAACAAACAACAGCAACACGAAGAACAACCGCAACUAUAACCAGUAGUAGUAGUAGUAGUGGUAGUGGUGGUGGUAGUAGUAGUAGUAGUAGUAGUAGUAGUAGUAGCGAGAGCAGUAGCAGCCAGCAGCAGCAGUAGGGAACCGCGCGGAGUGUUGAAUGAAAAAAAAAAGAUGUCUUAUCAAAGGCGGACGCUACCACCUCCAUAUUAUCCGUUUAGGUUUAACAAAACCUAUUUAGAUUAUCGGUAUCGAUACGAUCCACAAUAUGAAACCAAAGACAAUGGACCUUUUAGCAUUUUCGACAACACUGCAGAUCAACCUUCAGACACUGUCAUCAUCACAGAUCGCUCUAUAGCUGGUUGUGUGUGCUUGCUCAACUUCGUUCUGCUGUUAGCCUUAUGUUGUGUGAAGGCAAAAGACAAAAAACUUUUCCGAUUACAUCUAGUCAAUUUGACACUAAUCAGCAUCUUUACAGGUGUCGUUAUAUUAGCCUAUGCCUUGUUCGUGAAGGUGCAAGGUGUAAACCGUUUUGAUAAAUUGACUUGCAAAAUAUUCACCUUUGCCAAGUCGGUCCUCAAUGAUGCUUUGCCUCUUUGCCUUCUCGAAAUACACCUUGACCGCUUCUUCUGUCUGAUAUCUCCGGACACUUACCGCCAUCCGGUACAUCGCGCUAUAGGUGCCAUCAUGGUUUUCAUGCCUUGGGUCGUUGGUAUGGCCAUGACACUGCCUGAAGUCAUAAUGCAAGAUGUCACGUUACCCCUUGCAAAUGAUCGCUCGUUGUUUGGUUGUAAACUUAACGACUCUACCAACAUGCAUCAUUUGACACAGAUAGUUCGCUACAUUCCGUCAGGCCUAGUGGUAAUCAGCUUUCUACUGACGCUUAUUGCUGUCAUAGUACUUCUCUGUCCACAUUGCUCGCCAGACAGGGACGACCGGGGUUCAUUAUUGAACUCAAUGGUUGCUCUCCUUCUGGUCGAUGUAUUCUUUUUCCUUAUGCAAAUGAUUACGCGAACCAUAAGUCUUGUGGCAGCCAUCUGUCCAACGGGGGAGUGUACACGAGGAUAUAUCUACAUAAUUCACCAAUCAUUACUUUCAAAAUGGUUACACAGUGCUAAUCCAGGUCUAAAUCCGAUUCUUUGGUUGUGUGAUCGAGAUAUUCGACGUGGUUAUCAAGCUCUGUGCUGCCUGGAGUGUAUUACCAAGAAGAAGAGACGUACGGGUUAGGCAGCUCAAACCGAUCCUGCAAAUAUUGACGGCACACAAGGCCUGAAAUUGUAGGAGCGGGGACUAGUCGAUUACAUCGACCCCAGUGCUCCACUAGUGCUUUGUUUUAUCGACCCCGAAAGGAUGAAAGGCAUUAUUCGUUAUGCUUCCAUUAUUGGUUGCAUAUUCUGGUGAACUAAAUCUGCUAACAUUAUGAAGUAACUCCAACGCCCCAGAAACAGAUGUCGGACUUUCUAACACCAUAUCUUCUCCUCUUUAAUUUAUUCUGUAUCGGAGCCGAACGCCUCAAUACUAUGGUGCCUAGCAACGGUGCGCCCCCACUACUUGGCUCAGGCACAGAAGUGUCUCCUGCGGGCAGCUACUAAAGAAAAAAACAAACAAACAUAACUAAAGACAAAUACGGCCAGUCACAGAAAUUUCCGAUAAUAAAAAAAAAUACCACUCGAAGUUCGAUUUUUAUUCAAUUCAGUUCAAUAAAGAAAGCAGAAAGAAGAAAAGAGGAAAUAAAAAGGAAGAAAGAAAGAAAGAAAGAAAGAACGAAAGCUAGGAAAGAAAAGAAAAGAAAAGAAAAGAAAGAAUGAAAGAAAGUAGAAAAGAAUGGAAGAGACAUAAGAAAAUAAUAAGCUGACGGUAAGAAUUGAAGAAAGUAAAGUAAAGUAACCAGACGAGGUACUGGGAAAGCGAAAUGGAGAAACGAAAAUAAAAUGAAGAGCAAAGAUAUAAAAAAAACAAAAUGUUAUAUAUAUAUAUUAUACAU